UCCGUCCCGGCACCCGUUCCUGCCGCCGCCGCCCGCGAGCCCCGAGACGCCGCCGGGCCACUCCCGCAGCCCGUGCCCCUCCGCACCCGUUAUUAAACACGAAAACGAUCAGAACAUCAGAAUUAAGGAACUGUGAGGCCCCUGAGGCAUUCUCGGUUUCCUUUUUAAGCCCAGCACCUCGGCCCGGGUCCCUCCCUGCCUCCUCCGAGCCCGCACCGCACCUGCCAGGCCUGCCGGUGCCACCUCUACCAGACUAGGAGCUUCGGAGCCUCAGUCAUUCCUGAAUCCUGGGGCGCUUCUCAGGACCAGUGCCCGCACGCGGCUUCUACAAGUGAACUAGAAAAGACAAUUAGAUGACUUGGAAUGUGG